AGAGUUUGAUCAUGGCUCAGGAUGAACGCUAGCGACAGGCCUAACACAUGCAAGUCGAGGGGCAACGGGGCGUAGCAAUACGCUGCCGGCGACCGGCGGAUGGGUGAGUAACGCGUAUGCAACCUGCCUUCAGCAGGGGGAUAGCCCGUUGAAAGACGGAUUAAUACCCCAUAACACAGGGGCUCCGCAUGGAGAUUAUUGUUAAAGGGAUACUUCCUUCGGGGGGUAUUCCGGCUGAAGAUGGGCAUGCGUUCCAUUAGGUAGUUGGUUGAGGUAACGGCUCACCAAGCCUACGAUGGAUAGGGGAACUGAGAGGUUGGUCCCCCACACUGGUACUGAGACACGGACCAGACUCCUACGGGAGGCAGCAGUGAGGAAUCUUGGUCAAUGGACGGAAGUCUGAACCAGCCAUGUCGCGUGAAGGAGGACGGCCCUAAGGGUUGUAAACUUCUUUUGCAGCGGAAUAAAGUAUUCCACGAGAUGGGAUAUUGCAAGUACGCUGCGAAUAAGGAUCGGCUAACUCCGUGCCAGCAGCCGCGGUAAUACGGAGGAUCCGAGCGUUAUCCGGAUUUAUUGGGUUUAAAGGGUGCGCAGGCGGGAAGUUAGGUCGGCGGUGAAAUUUUGGGGCUCAACCCCGAGAGUGCCGUUGAAACCGGUUUUCUUGAGUGCGGAUGAGGUAGGCGGAAUUUGUGGUGUAGCGGUGAAAUGCGUAGAUAUCACAAGGAACACCGAUUGCGGAGGCAGCUUACUAAACCGUUACUGACGCUCAUGCACGAAGGCGUGGGGAUCAAACAGGAUUAGAUACCCUGGUAGUCCACGCAGUAAACGAUGAUUACUAGCUGUUUGCGAUACAUUGUGAGCGGCUGAGCGAAAGCGUUAAGUAAUCCACCUGGGGGAGUACGUUCGCAAGAAUGAAACUCAAUGAAUUGACGG
rnacentral:rRNA from 1 species